AUAGCAGAUUGCCCAGGAUUAUACGGACUUCUACGCCAGAUUUCCAAACGGAGAAUACAUCAUGAAAGCCCUCCUAGGAAAAAGACUUGCUGUGACCCUCGCUGCCAUGAUAGCGGCCAUGAUUUUGGGCCCCACCGAAAUUGAGGGGAGCGCUCUAGCGAGGAGGGUCUUGGGGAGGAACGAAGACGAGCCCACUCAAUAAUUCUCCAGCACAUUGCACUUCACCUCGCCGCUGAGCGACAACAAGGGGUUCAUCCUGCAAUGCAAUGUGAAUAUAACUGUCAAAUAAACACGUUUUUCAAGCAGCGUUGUCUUCGCGAGCAGCG